GAUGAACGCUGGCGGCGUGCUUAACACAUGCAAGUCGAACGAUGAAGCCCAGCUUGCUGGGUGGAUUAGUGGCGAACGGGUGAGUAACACGUGAGUAACCUGCCCUUGACUCUGGGAUAAGCCUGGGAAACUGGGUCUAAUACUGGAUAUGAUUCCCAUCGCAUGGUGGGGGGUGGAAAGAUUUAUUGGUCUUGGAUGGACUCGCGGCCUAUCAGCUUGUUGGUGAGGUAAUGGCUCACCAAGGCGACGACGGGUAGCCGGCCUGAGAGGGUGACCGGCCACACUGGGACUGAGACACGGCCCAGACUCCUACGGGAGGCAGCAGUGGGGAAUAUUGCACAAUGGGCGCAAGCCUGAUGCAGCGACGCCGCGUGAGGGAUGACGGCCUUCGGGUUGUAAACCUCUUUCAGUAGGGAAGAAGCGAGAGUGACGGUACCUGCAGAAGAAGCGCCGGCUAACUACGUG
rnacentral:rRNA from 1 species